rnacentral:rRNA from 1 species
GACGAACGCUGGCGGCGUGCUUAACACAUGCAAGUCGAACGAUGAAGCAGUGAAACGCGAACUUCGGUUCAAAUUUCACUUCGGAUUAGUGGCAGACGGGUGAGUAACGCGUGAGCAACCUACCUCUUACAAAGGGAUAGCCUCGGGAAACCGUGAUUAAUACCAUAUGACACAUUCAUAAGGCAUCUUAAGAAUGUUAAAGCUACGGCGGUAAGAGAUGGGCUCGCGUCCCAUUAGCUAGUUGGUGAGGUAACGGCCCACCAAGGCGACGAUGGGUAACCGGCCUGAGAGGGUGAACGGUCACAUUGGAACUGAGACACGGUCCAAACUCCUACGGGAGGCAGCAGUGGGGAAUAUUGCACAAUGGAGGGAACUCUGAUGCAGCGACGCCGCGUGAGCGAUGAAGGAAUUCGUUUCGUAAAGCUCUGUUCUAUGGGAAGAAAAGGACUGUACCAUAGGAGAAAGCCCCGGCUAAAUACGUG